rnacentral:rRNA from 1 species
GAUGAACGCUGGCGGCGUGCCUAAUACAUGCAAGUCGAGCGAACGGACGAGAAGCUUGCUCUUCUGAUGUUAUCGGCGGACGGGUGAGUAACACGUGGAUAACCUACCUAUAAGACUGGGAUAACUUCGGGAAACCGGAGCUAAUACCGGAUAAUAUUUUGAACCGCAUGGUUCAAAAGUGAAAGACGGUCUUGCUGUCACUUAUAGAUGGAUCCGCGCUGCAUUAGCUAGUUGGUAAGGUAACGGCUUACCAAGGCAACGAUGCAUAGCCGACCUGAGAGGGUGAUCGGCCACCCUGGAACAGAGACACGGCCCAGACUCCUACGGGAGGCAGCAGUAGGGAAUCUUCCGCAAUGGGCGAAAGCCUGACGGAGCAACGCCGCGUGAGUGAUGAAGGUCUUCGGAUCGUAAAACUCUGUUAUUAGGGAAGAACAAAUGUGUAAGUAACUGUGCACAUCUUGACGGUACCUAAUCAGAAAGCCACGGCUAACUACGUG